rnacentral:rRNA from 1 species
UACGUAGGGGGCAAGCGUUGUCCGGAUUUAUUGGGCGUAAAGAGCGUGUAGGCGGUCAGGUAGGUCCGUUGUGAAAACUCGAGGCUCAACCUCGAGACGCCGAUGGAAACCAUCUGGCUAGAGUCCGGAAGAGGAGAGUGGAAUUCCUGGUGUAGCGGUGAAAUGCGCAGAUAUCAGGAAGAACACCCGUGGCUAAGGCGGCUCUCUGGGACGGUACUGACGCUGAGACGCGAAAGCGUGGGGAGCGAACAGG